UGCCUCCAGGCUGCCAAGGGCUGUGCCCAGCGGGACGAUGAGGAUGGUGUAGCCUCUUUGAACGGCCAUUGUGGCGCUGUGGUGGCAGGGAGGCAGCAGCGCCCACAGGAGGAGAGGCGGGUUCCACCCCGGCAUUCCAGCUGGACAGGAGGGGUCCCCAAUAUCACCCCCGCUUGAGGGAGGAAAAGGUCUCCGAGGCAGCUACCUCGCUUUGCCGAGCAACAUUUCCCCAUCCAUCCUCCCCUCCAGAUCUGCUCUCUUGCUCUUCCUCACGGUUCACCUACUUCCAGCCCAUUGCCACCCUAGUCAGCAGUGCUGUGACCCCGAGGCCUGGUGCUGUAAUGCGAACUGAAACCCCAAAUUCCUUCAGAAGAAACCCCCUCACACUUCUCCUCCUAACCUGUCUCCACUCUCCCGCAAGACUAACCCUCCCUCUACCCCAUCCAAUUCUCCUUUCCGUUUUCCUUUUUAAUCCACUCACACGCCUCCUCAAAUCCCACCACAGCUGCCUCUCAACCCCACCCCCUCCACACUGACUUCCCACCUUCUGGCCUCACUUCCCCCGCCCGCCCGCGGCAGUCUCCCUUCUCACCCUCCUGUCCAACAACCUUCUCUCCAGUCACCCCAAACACUCUUCUCCUCUUCCUCCUCCCUUUCUGACAAGGGCUUUCCUUAUCACCCUGCCACACAGAGCUCCUUUCUCAUCUCCUCCCCACUCUUCCAGCACGGUCCCCUUCUUCCUUCAAACUGCUUUGCACUGAUUGAUUUCCAUCACCCCCGGCUCUCCCCUCAGUCUUUUCUUCUGCCUGUCACACUCCCUUUCCCCCUAGGGCAAACACAGUGCCCCAUAUCUCCCCCCACCCUUCCCGUUUGCCCCAAUUUGCUGAACUCAGCACUACGCAGUGUAUCCUGGGAUAGGCUUUAAAGCCUCAGUGGCCUUGGACAAUGGUGGCCAUAAUCCCUGCCUUUCCGGCUGGCCGAAUGAGCUUGCGGGACAGAGAAGUGAUAAAACAACUAUUUGUAUGAACAAUGCAACAUGGGAGUGACAUACCAUGGGAAAUUGCCUGCUCUUUUCCAUGAACUGAAAAAUAAGAAGUUGCCAUUUUCCAGUGCGUAGGAGGAAACAGGUGCAGCAGUACACUUCCUAUCCUGUAUUUCAAGGGGCCUGGAACCAGAUCCACUUCUAAAAUAAAUACAGGAGGCCUUUGUAAGGAUUAUGGAGAUCUCUCUCUCUACAAAAAAGAAGAAUCCAUUUCUAAGGAGAGCAUGGAAGGAUUGAACUAAAAGGUUAGAACAACAAUCGGCUAACCCUUGAAGGCCGCUUCCUUGCUCACCACAUUGUAUUCCACGGCAUUGGAAAUGGUGUGUCUGCGGGGCUCCUUUGGAAUCCGGAUGCUUCGGUGUCGGCCGGCUUGGCACAAGGAACUGUUAAUGCUGCGGGAGCGAGUGACACCUUUCCCAUCAGAUUCUCCUGGAGAAAAGGACCCAAGGCAUGCUUAUACUAUGACUUGCAAUUUUUAUUUUAAAGAAAGAAAUCUACAUAACUCUUAUUUAUGAAGAUCUUACAAAAUCAAGAAUACAUUACCUGGCAGCCAA